UCCAUGUGCACAUACCCAUGGACAAGAUCCA
rnacentral:piRNA from 1 species